GGAUUCCCCUAGUAACUGCGAGUGAAGCGGGAAAAGCUCAAAUUUAAAAUCUGGCAGUCUUCGAUUGUCCGAGUUGUAAUUUAGAGAAGCGUUAUCCGCGUUGGACCGUGUACAAGUCUCCUGGAACGGAGCGUCAUAGAGGGUGAGAAUCCCGUCCAUGGCACGGACUACCAGUGCAUUGUGAUACGCUCUCGAAGAGUCGAGUUGUUUGGGAAUGCAGCUCUAAAUGGGUGGUAAAUUCCAUCUAAAGCUAAAUAUAGGCGAGAGACCGAUAGCGAACAAGUACCGUGAGGGAAAGAUGAAAAGAACUUUGGAAAGAGAGUUAAACAGUACGUGAAAUUGUUGAAAGGGAAACGCUUGAAGUCAGUCGCGUCGUUCAGGGAUCAGCCUUGCUCUGCUUGGUGUACUUCCUGUUCGACGGGUCAGCAUCAGUUUCGAUCGUUGGAAAAAGUGCGCAGGAAUGUGGCAUCUUCGGAUGUGUUAUAGCCUGUGUUCGUAUACAGCGGUUGGGACUGAGGAAUCAGCACUCGAUGCUUGGGAUGCUGGCAUAAUGGCUUUAAGCGACCCGUCUUGAAACACGGACCAAGGAGUCUAACAUGCCCGCGAGUGUUUGGGUGAAAAACCCGAGCGCGUAAUGAAAGUGAAAAGUUGGGAUCUCUGUCGUGGAGAGCACCGACGCCCGGACCAGAUGUUUUCGGACGGUUCUGCGGUAGAGCGUGUAUGUUGGGACCCGAAAGAUGGUGAACUAUGCCUGAAUAGGGCGAAGCCAGAGGAAACUCUGGUGGAGGCUCGUAGCGAUUCUGACGUGCAAAUCGAUCGUCGAAUUUGGGUAUAGGGG
rnacentral:rRNA from 2 species